CAUUUUGUCAAGACACGCGGAUAAGAUUCUCAAUUGCAAGAGGCCCCAGCAUCAGUCAUCGGCAUAAAAAUGGGGGGAGCUGCUUCUGAAAUGACCCCCCCUGUGCAGUGUAAAACAAAGAGAACUAAGAGUGUCCUGAUGGAGAGAGCAGGCUCACCUGUACCCAGGUCUGUUUCCAUGAAGAGUGACAGGUCAAUGGACAAACCAAUCAGUUUCAGAAAGGGACCUUUUCCUACAGAUCAAAGUGUCCUGAUGGAGAGAGCAGGCUCACCUGUACCCAGCUGUGUUUCCAUGAAGAGUGACAGGUCAAUGAUGGAACCGAUCAGCUUCAGAGAGGGACGUUUUCCUACAGAUCAAAGGGACCGAGUGAAUAGAUGUAAUUUACAUCCACAUAAAGGAGACUUAUCAUCCAUCUUCAAGGUUUGCAUUUAUUAAGUAUAUUUUCUUAAAUUUUAUAUAAAUUGACAUAUAUCUUCUACAGAUACACGUAAACAAUAAGUAGUUUGUCCUGUGAAAGAGAUAUUUACAACUAAUGCUGCGUUCCAUUUACCUCGGAGGUCGGAAGUCGGAGCUGGGAAUGACGUCACACCCAAGUUACCCUCGUUCCAGUACAGCAAGUCGGAAAGCCAUUUUGCAAAACCAGGGACCUGAAAUCGCUUGAAUAGGGACCUGUUUCAAACAGCAGGGUUUCUUGCUUAGCCAGAUAACUCCUUGAAUUUAAUGUGCCCCAGUUUAAAUGGCCUUCAUCUUCAUUCACUUAUAUUUAGCUCAGAGUACAUUAAAUUCCGACUUCAGUUGAUAUUUCCCACUAGGAACUCCGAAUUUCCAAGUUACAAGUUGAAAUGGAACGCAGCAUAAUUCACAAAUGAAGUUAUAAAAAGAUACGGUGCCAGGAGUGAUAAUAAUUAAACUGUAACUGUUCAUUUCAGUUAUUGGAGAAAAAAGCUCAAAUGUUU